CCUACGGGUGGCAGCAGUAGGGAAUAUUGCUCAAUGGGGGAAACCCUGAAGCAGCAACGCCGCGUGGAGGAUGAAGGUUUUCGGAUUGUAAACUCCUUUUGUUAGAGAAGAGAAUGACGGUAUCUAACGAAUAAGCACCGGAUAACUCCGUGCCAGAAGCCGCGGUAAUACGGAGGGUGCAAGCGUUACUCGGAAUCACUGGGCGUAAAGAGGGCGUAGGCGGGGUAGCAAGUCAGAUGUGAAAUCCUAUGGCUUAACCCUAGAACUGCAUUUGAAACUGUUAUUCUUGAGUAUGGGAGAGGUAGGUGGAAUUCUUGGUGUAGGGGUAAAAUGCGUAGAGAUCAGGAGGAAUACUCAUUGCGAAGGCGACCUGCUAGAACAUAACUGACGCUGAUGCGCGAAAGCGUGGGGAGCAAACAGGAUUAGAUACCCCUGUAGUC
rnacentral:rRNA from 1 species